rnacentral:rRNA from 1 species
GACGAACGCUGGCGGAGUGCUUAACACAUGCAAGUCGAGCGGUAAGGCUCCUUCGGGAGUACACGAGCGGCGAACGGGUGAGUAACACGUGAGCAACCUGCCCUUCUCAUCGGAAUAAGCGUUGGAAACGACGUCUAAUGCCGAAUAUGACAACGGAUCGCAUGAUCUGUUGUGGAAAGCUCCGGCGGAGAAGGAUGGGCUCGCGGCCUAUCAGCUUGUUGGUGGGGUAACGGCCCACCAAGGCGACGACGGGUAGCUGGCCUGAGAGGGUGACCGGCCACACUGGGACUGAGACACGGCCCAGACUCCUACGGGAGGCAGCAGUGGGGAAUAUUGGACAAUGGGCGCAAGCCUGAUCCAGCAACGCCGCGUGAGGGAUGACGGCCUUCGGGUUGUAAACCUCUUUCAGCAGGGACGAAGCGAAAGUGACGGUACCUGCAGAAGAAGGACCGGCCAACUACGUGCCAGCAGCCGCCGUAACAC